GACGAACGCUGGCGGCGUGCUUAACACAUGCAAGUCGAGCGGUAAGGCCCUUUCGGGGGUACACGAGCGGCGAACGGGUGAGUAACACGUGGGUGACCUGCCCUCAGCUCUGGGAUAAGCCUGGGAAACCGGGUCUAAUACUGGAUAUGACUCCAUGACGCAUGUUGUGGGGUGGAAAGCCUUGUGCGGCUGAGGAUGGGCCCGCGGCCUAUCAGCUUGUUGGUGGGGUGANGGCCUACCAAGGCGACGACGGGUAGCCGACCUGAGAGGGCGACCGGCCACACUGGGACUGAGACACGGCCCAGACUCCUACGGGAGGCAGCAGUGGGGAAUCUUGCGCAAUGGGCGAAAGCCUGACGCAGCGACGCCGCGUGAGGGAUGACGGCCUGGUGUAAC
rnacentral:rRNA from 1 species